GCUAUCUUUACGAAUGUUGAAAGCAUCUGAUGAAAUUGGAACGAUACAGAGAAUAUUAGCAUGGCCCCUAUGCAAGGAUGACACACACAAAUCGAUAAAUGGUCCAAAUUUUG
rfam:Picea glauca, whole genome shotgun sequence.